UACGAAGGGGGCUAGCGUUGUUCGGAAUUACUGGGCGUAAAGGGCGCGUAGGCGGCUUCGAUAGUCGGGUGUGAAAUGCCUGGGCUCAACCCAGGAACUGCACUCGAAACUCCGAGGCUAGAGUGUGGGAGAGGAUAGUGGAAUUCCCAGUGUAGAGGUGAAAUUCGUAGAUAUUGGGAAGAACACCGGUGGCGAAGGCGGCGUAUACUGGGACCACAACUGACGCUGAGGCGCGAA
rnacentral:rRNA from 1 species